rnacentral:rRNA from 1 species
UGCCAGCAGCCGCGGUAAUACGGAGGGAGCUAGCGUUGUUCGGAAUCACUGGGCGUAAAGCGCACGUAGGCGGACUGAUCAGUUGGGGGUGAAAGCCCGGGGCUUAACCUCGGAACUGCCUUCAAUACUGUCAGUCUUGAGUUCGGGAGAGGUGAGUGGAAUUCCUAGUGUAGAGGUGAAAUUCGUAGAUAUUCGGAGGAACACCAGUGGCGAAGGCGGCUCACUGGCUCGAUACUGACGCUGAGGUACGAAAGUGUGGGGAGCAAACAGGAUUAGAUA